rnacentral:misc_RNA from 1 species
UUUCCGUAGGUGAACCUGCGGAAGGAUCAUUAACGAGUUAAGGUCUUCUAGGCCCGACCUCCCAACCCUAUGUUUAUUGAACCUCUGUUGCUUCGGCGGACCCGUCUCAUGACCGCCGGAGGACCGCCGAAAGGCGUCCUCUGGCCAGCGUCCGCCGAUGGCCAACCACUUAAAACUCUGAAUGAAUCGUGUCAUAUGUCUAAGUCUAUGAUUAAAUUAAAGCAAAACUUUCAACAACGGAUCUCUUGGUUCUG